rnacentral:lncRNA from 1 species
GUCUCUGUCUCUGAGUCUCUGUCUCUCUCUGUCUCUUCACAGUCUGUUACUACUUAAUACAGUGCUUAUUGGCCUGAGAUUGGACAUUAUUUAAAAGCAAUUUAGAGAGUUUUCUCCAUUUCAGGCAAGAAAACAUGCACUAUUUUUCUGAUAUGGCAUGGGACAUCGAAAAAUAGUUUUGAACAAAAUUUUGAAAUUUUUGGCCCAAAGAAAGCAAAUACCCACCGCAACAAAUAAGAUGUGUCACAAUAAGUCAUGAUUUACAAUCCCUUUCACAACUGCCUGUUGCCCUUAGCAAUCCCUAAAGCAAAAACAAACAAAACAAAUCCUUUCAGCAUAUCUUCAUGAAACUGUCUGGGAUGUGACAAAACUUUGAGAAACAGUUUUGUGAUAAUGGUUUUGCACUUUAUUGGUACUUCUCCAGAGGAGGUGGUGAAUGGCUGCUUUCAAAUACAUAGAGCUAUCAAAGGCUAAAGUCAAUAAAAAACCUCCAUAGAAUAAUUGGGGAGGAAAGAAAAGGGGGAAAAAAGAACAUAAAAGGAAUGAAAAGGAAAGUAGGACCUAUAAAUAUAAAAGCCUAAGGAGUAUAUUUUGGGGGAACAGAUGAUGCAAAACAAAAUUGGGAAUAGUUAUCGGAGGACCAAGGAAGGCAAAUAAAACAAUAAGAUAUAUGAUGCCUGUCCUCCUGCCUCAAGUCUAGCUCAUCAGACAGUUUUUCAUUCCAUUUUGUAUAUAUGAGUUUCAUCUGACUACUGCCAACAGAAAGUGCUUGGAUUUCCUGACUUUUUUCACUGUCAAAAGAAAUAAUAAGCUGAUGAGAUUCAAACUACUUCUCCUUCCUGCCACCAUGUGAAGAAGGAUGUGUUUGCUUCCCCUUCUGCCAUAAUUUCACCAGGAAAAGACAAGACGAUACUGUAUGAAAGUCUGACCAACAUAAAGGGUGCUACAAGGAUGCCCCCAAGGCUCAGGAUGUUGGAGAGUUGAGGCACCAUGAGUAACCACAACGCAGAAUGAAGAAUAGUUCUUCUGGUGUGAGGAUCCACUGGGUUGCCACUGACCCAUUGCCUGAGGGUAUGUGAUGAAACCAGAAUCAGCAACUGUAGAUGGCAGCUCAGAAGGGGAAACGACACAUCUAAUAACCAACAGGAAUGGCUAUUAAUUAGCUGAAAUGACAAUAAUUAACAGAAAUGACAAGUCUAAUAAAUUUUCACUUAAGUGUUGUCAUAUGGCA